rnacentral:rRNA from 1 species
CCUACGGGAGGCAGCAGUGGGGAAUAUUGCACAAUGGGCGGAAGCCUGAUGCAGCGACGCCGCGUGAGGGAUGACGGCCUUCGGGUUGUAAACCUCUUUCAGCAGGGACGAAGCGCGAGUGACGGUACCUGCAGAAGAAGCACCGGCUAACUACGUGCCAGCAGCCGCGGUAAU